ACAUAUUAUUAGCAAUCAUAAAUCCCAACUGAUGUUAGGCUUUCUGGCCUAUGGGUUACAUAGUCGCUAAGACCACACACAGAUGCAGUUCAUCCCAAGGAUUCACUGUGCCACAUGUAUGUUUAACAGGAAAAUUUGAUUUAUAAAAUCAUGCCAGCAAUUAUUAGGCUAUUUGAAAAGCUUUGUA